AUUGAACGCUGGCGGCAGGCUUAACACAUGCAAGUCGAGCGGGGUGAUGGUGCUUGCACUAUCACUUAGCGGCGGACGGGUGAGUAAUGCUUAGGAAUCUGCCAAUUAGUGGGGGACAACAUCUCGAAAGGGAUGCUAAUACCGCAUACGUCCUACGGGAGAAAGCAGGGGAUCACUUGUGACCUUGCGCUAAUAGAUGAGCCUAAGUCGGAUUAGCUAGUUGGUGGGGUAAAGGCCUACCAAGGCGACGAUCUGUAGCGGGUCUGAGAGGAUGAUCCGCCACACUGGGACUGAGACACGGCCCAGACUCCUACGGGAGGCAGCAGUGGGGAAUAUUGGACAAUGGGGGGAACCCUGAUCCAGCCAUGCCGCGUGUGUGAAGAAGGCCUUAUGGUUGUAAAGCACCUUAAGCGGGGAGGAGGCUCUUUUGGUUAAUACCCAAGAUGAGUGGACGUUACUCGCAGAAUAAGCACCGGCUAACUCUGUGCCAGCCGCCGCAGUAAAAC
rnacentral:rRNA from 1 species